UACAAAAUUUGUAUUAUUCAGUAACAGGAAGAAAACACAAUUUUGAAACUGGACGUUUAAUCAUAGUGCCCUUACAACGAACAGUGACAACCCUCGUCAAGUUAUCUUUACCCGGAUGCAGUUCUACGAUUCUGCCGUACAACCACUUAGCAGGAGGGCUGUCAAUUCAGCAUAAAACCAUUGCUGCUGGCUUUGCUUGAUACAAACAUUCAAGGCUUCCCGGAUCUCUGAAGAUGACAGAUGCAGCAGGAGGUGACGUCUUUACAGAAUAAUCAAACUCAUCAGUGCUCCGGUUCCAGUUUCACACCCAGUCAUCAGAUCGUCCAUAUAGAAGUCUGACUUCACCCUUUCAGCAGCCAUUGGAUACUUGUGACCUUCAUCGCACGCAAUUUGCUGCAACGACUUGACAGCCAAAUAAGGAGCGCAUGAGGUACCAAAGGUGACAG